AUUGAACGCUGGCGGCAGGCCUAACACAUGCAAGUCGAGCGAGCGGCGGACGGGUGAGUAAUGUAUGGGGACUGCCCGAUAGAGGGGGAUAACUACUGGAAACGGUAGCUAAUACAGCAUACUAUCGGAUAACCCAUAUGGGAUUAGCUAGUAAGUGAGGUAAUUGCUCACCUAGGCGACGAUCCCUAUCUGGUCUGAGAGGAUGAUCAGCCACACUGGUAGUGAGACACGGCCCAGACUCCUACGGAGCGAGCAGUGGGGAAUAUUGCACAAUGGGCGCAAGCCUGCUGCAGCCAUGCCGCGUGUAUGAAGAAGGCCCUAGGGUUGUAAAGUACUUUCAGUCGGGAGGCGUUACCGACAGAAGAAGCACCGGCUAACUCCGUGCCAGCAGCCGCGGUAAUUC
rnacentral:rRNA from 1 species